rnacentral:rRNA from 1 species
UACGUAGGGUGCGAGCGUUGUCCGGAAUUACUGGGCGUAAAGAGCUCGUAGGUGGUUUGUCGCGUUGUUCGUGAAAACUCACAGCUCAACUGUGGGCGUGCGGGCGAUACGGGCAGACUAGAGUACUGCAGGGGAGACUGGAAUUCCUGGUGUAGCGGUGGAAUGCGCAGAUAUCAGGAGGAACACCGGUGGCGAAGGCGGGUCUCUGGGCAGUAACUAACGCUGAGGAGCGAAAGCGUGGGGGAGCGAACAGG